UGGGGAAUUUUGGACAAUGGGCGAAAGCCUGAUCCAGCAAUGCCGCGUGUGUGAAGAAGGCCUUCGGGUUGUAAAGCACUUUUGUCCGGAAAGAAAUCCUUGGCUCUAAUACAGCCGGGGGAUGACGGUACCGGAAGAAUAAGCACCGGCUAACUACGUGCCAGCAGCCGCGGUAAUACGUAGGGUGCAAGCGUUAAUCGGAAUUACUGGGCGUAAAGCGUGCGCAGGCGGUUUGCUAAGACCGAUGUGAAAUCCCCGGGCUCAACCUGGGAACUGCAUUGGUGACUGGCAGGCUAGAGUAUGGCAGAGGGGGGUAGAAUUCCACGUGUAGCAGUGAAAUGCGUAGAGAUGUGGAGGAAUACCGAUGGCGAAGGCAGCCCCCUGGGCCAAUACUGACGCUCAUGCACGAAAGCGUGGGGAGCAAACAGGAUUAGAUACCCUGGUAGUCCACGCCCUAAACGAUGUCAACUAGUUGUUGGGGAUUCAUUUCCUUAGUAACGUAGCUAACGCGUGAAGUUGACCGCCUGGGGAGUACGGUCGCAAGAUUAAAACUUCAAAUGAAUUGACGGGGUCAUAGCUGUUUCCU
rnacentral:rRNA from 1 species